UACGGAGGGUGCGAGCGUUAAUCGGAAUUACUGGGCGUAAAGGGUGCGUAGGCGGUUUAUUAAGUUACUUGUGAAAUCCCUCGGCUUAACCGGGGAACUGCGUCUGAUACUGGAUGGCUUGAGUUUGGGAGAGGGAUGCGGAAUUCCAGGUGUAGCGGUGAAAUGCGUAGAUAUCUGGAGGAACACCGGUGGCGAAGGCGGCAUCCUGGACCAACACUGACACUGAGGAGCGAAAGCCAGGGGAGCAAACGGG
rnacentral:rRNA from 1 species